rnacentral:hammerhead_ribozyme from 1 species
AUAGACGAGUCCCAAAUAGGACGAAAUGCGCAUCCUGGAU